rnacentral:lncRNA from 1 species
CUGGCAUCAACAGCACAAUUCUAAACCCAAAAACAUAAAAAAAUGGCAGCAAGUGUAGCAACAAUGGCGAUGCUCAAUGCAAAAUGCCUAAGCAUCAGCUCAACUAAGAUGAGCAGCCCAACAAAGCCAACCCCAAAGCCCUUCUCCCUUCUCUCCAUGCAGAACCUCCCCAAAGGCCUCACCAUCUCAAAACCAGCCAACAACUCAAACCUACCUUCUUCACUCGCUGGCAGCGCCAUUGCUGGAGCUAUCUUCUCAACCUUAAGUUCAUGUGACCCCGCCUUAGCUGCACAACAGAUUGCUGAAAUAGCUGAAGGAGACAACCGUGGGCUAGCUCUAUUGCUUCCCAUAAUCCCAGCGAUCGCUUGGGUCCUCUUCAACAUCCUCCAGC